GACGAACGCUGGCGGCGUGCUUAACACAUGCAAGUCGAACGGAAAGGCCCUGCUUUUGUGGGGUGCUCGAGUGGCGAACGGGUGAGUAACACGGGAGUAACCUGCCCUUGACUUUGGGAUAACUUCAGGAAACUGGGGCUAAUACCGGAUAGGAGCUCCUGCUGCAUGGUGGGGGUUGGAAAGUUUCGGCGGUUGGGGAUGGACUCGCGGCUUAUCAGCUUGUUGGUGGGGUAGUGGCUUACCAAGGCUUUGACGGGUAGCCGGCCUGAGAGGGUGACCGGCCACAUUGGGACUGAGAUACGGCCCAGACUCCUACGGGAGGCAGCAGUGGGGAAUAUUGCACAAUGGGCGGAAGCCUGAUGCAGCAACGCCGCGUGCGGGAAGACGGCCUUCGGGUUGUAAACCGCUUUCGCCUGUGACGAAGCGUGAGUGACGGUAAUGGGUAAAGAAGCACCGGCUAACUACGUG
rnacentral:rRNA from 1 species